GUUCGGAUUGCAGUCUGCAACUCGACUGCAUGAAGCUGGAAUCGCUAGUAAUCGCGAAUCAGCAUGUCGCGGUGAAUACGUUCCCGGGUCUUGUACACACCGCCCGUCACACCAUGGGAGUCGGAAAUGCCCGAAGCCAGUGACCCAACCUUUAAGGAGGGAGCUGUCGAAGGCAGGUCUGGUAACUGGGGUGAAGUCGUAACAAGGUAAC
rnacentral:rRNA from 1 species